rnacentral:rRNA from 1 species
UACGUAGGGGGCGAGCGUUAUCCGGAGUUACUGGGCGUAAAGCGCACGCAGGCGGUCGGGCAAGUUUGGGGUUACAGCUCCCGGCUCAACUGGGAGAGCGCCUCGAAGACUGCGCGACUGGAGGGCCACAGAGGGACACAGAAUUCCGGGUGUAGUGGUGAAAUGCGUAGAUAUCCGGAGGAAUACCAAAGGCGAAGGCAGUGUCCUGGGUGGCACCUGACGCUCAGGUGCGAAAGCUAGGGGAGCGAACGGG